UUUUUAAUUUUAUUUCCUUCCCUUCUGACUAUGGAAACCUGCUUAUUAUUCUUAUCUACAUUUUGCAGAUGAAGACAUUGAGGCUCAAAGAGUUUGAGUGACUUCCCUGAGGUCCUACAGCCAGGACCUGGUGGAGCUGGGAUAGAACCCAAGCUUCCAGCUGAUGGUCCUCUGCACUUUCUCCCACACCUGUUGGCUUCCUGUACUCCUAAAGAAUCCAAGGUGUCCCUUGGGCACCUACCCUUUAUCAGCACAUCUGCUCAACUCAUUGUGGGGGAGGACCUGAAAGAUUGUGAUAUAUCUGUUGGCUCUGCGUGGCUUUGAAAAAAAAACAAAAACAAAAAACAGCCGGCUCUGCAGGAGAUCAGAGUUUAAUUAUUACCCAAAUCAGUCUCCCUGAGCAUUCAGGAAUCAGAAUUUUUAAGGUAAUUUGGCAGGUAGGGGCUUGGGAAUUGGGGAGUGCUGAUUGGUCAGAUUGGAGAUGAAAU
rnacentral:lncRNA from 1 species